GUGCUCGCGUUGGCAGCACACAUACUAAAAUUGGAACGAUAUAGAGAAGAUUAGCAUGGCCCCUGUGUAAGGACAACACGCAAAUUCGUUAAGUGUUCCAUAUUUAA